rnacentral:rRNA from 1 species
AGUGAACGCUGGCGGUAGGCCUAACACAUGCAAGUCGAACGGCAGCACAGUAAGAGCUUGCUCUUACUGGUGGCGAGUGGCGGACGGGUGAGGAAUACAUCGGAAUCUACUUUUUCGUGGGGGAUAGCGUAGGGAAACUUACGCUAAUACCGCAUACGACCUACGGGUGAAAGCAGGGGAUCUUCGGACCUUGCGCGAUUGAAUGAGCCGAUGUCGGAUUAGCUAGUUGGCGUGGUAAAGGCCCACCAAGGCGACGAUCCGUAGCUGGUCUGAGAGGAUGAUCAGCCACACUGGAACUGAGACACGGUCCAGACUCCUACGGGAGGCAGCAGUAGGGAAUAUUGGACAAUGGGCGCAAGCCUGAUCCAGCCAUACCGCGUGGGUGAAGAAGGCCUUCGGGUUGUAAAGCCCUUUUGUUGGGAAAGAAAAGAAGCAGGUUAAUACCCCGCUGUUCUGACGGUACCCAAAGAAUAAGCACCGGCUAACUUCGUG